rnacentral:tRNA from 1 species
GAAUUAUCCCCAGCCCUAAGCUUCUAACUUAGGAAUAAACAAUAAUAUUGUUUAUAAUUCU